AUUGGGUUGGCCAGAAAGUUCAGUUGGGUUUUCCCUAAGAAGUUAUGAAAAAACCUGAAUGAACUUUUUGGCCGAUGCAAU
rnacentral:miRNA from 1 species